GACGAACGCUGGCGGCGUGCUUAACACAUGCAAGUCGAACGGAAAGGCCCUGCUUUUGUGGGGUGCUCGAGUGGCGAAAGGGUGAGUAACACGUGAGUAACCUGCCCUUGACUUUGGGAUAACUUCAGGAAACUGGGGCUAAUACCGGAUAGGAGCUCCUGCUGCAUGGUGGGGGUUGGAAAGUUUCGGCGGUUGGGGAUGGACUCGCGGCUUAUCAGCUUGUUGGUGGGGUAGUGGCUUACCAAGGCUUUGACGGGUAGCCGGCCUGAGAGGGUGACCGGCGACAUUGGGACUGAGAGACGGCCCAGACUGCUACGGGAGGCAGAAGGGGGGAAUAUUGCGCAAUGGGCGGGAGUCUGAUGCAGCAACGCCGCGUGCGGGAUGACGGGCUUCGGGUUGUAAACCGCUUUCGCCUGUGACGAAGCGUGAGUGACGGUAAUGGGUAAAGAAGCACCGGCUAACUACGUG
rnacentral:rRNA from 1 species